GACGAACGCUGGCGGCGUGCUUAACACAUGCAAGUCGAACGGUAAGGCCCUUCGGGGUACACGAGUGGCGAACGGGUGAGUAACACGUGGGUGAUCUGCCCUGCACUUCGGGAUAAGCCUGGGAAACUGGGUCUAUACCGGAUAGGACUCCUGCCUGCAUGGGUGGGGGUGGAAAGCUUUUGCGGUGUGGGAUGGGCCCGCGGCCUAUCAGCUUGUUGGUGGGGUGAUGGCCUACCAAGGCGACGACGGGUAGCCGGCCUGAGAGGGUGACCGGCCACACUGGGACUGAGAUACGGCCCAGACUCCUACGGGAGGCAGCAGUGGGGAAUAUUGCACAAUGGGCGCAAGCCUGAUGCAGCGACGCCGCGUGAGGGAUGACGGCCUUCGGGUUGUAAACCUCUUUCAGCACAGACGAAGCGCAAGUGACGGUAUGUGCAGAAGAAGGACCGGCCAACUACGUGCCAGCCGCCGCCGCGG
rnacentral:rRNA from 1 species